CAGAGAGAAAAGAAAACCAAAUACCAUUUCUUGGCUGGUUUGAAGAAAUUCUAAGGAGAUCCAAGUGAAAGCAAAGCCAAAGAAGUAGAUUAAGCUUAGUUCUAACCUUUUUAUGAUAUUUCUUGGGGUUUCCAAGUGGUUUGAGGUUUAGAAAAGCUUGAAGAGAUUGUUUUCGCCGAAAAGUUGCUCGGAUAAGCACAUCAAUACCUAAGACACCACUUGUUACACGGUGAACUAUAUUUUGGACAAAAGGUAGAGAAAGAAAUGUGUGAAUGACAUGAGGAGAACUGAAGCAUGGUCCUGACCCUGAUUUGUACAUAUGAACAUAUCGACCUUUUUGUGGGUUAUUUCAGUUAUCAGUGAGAUGUUUGUAAUAAAGUGUGAAGUUAUGUUUUGAAAACAAA